rnacentral:rRNA from 1 species
CCUACGGGAGGCAGCAGUGAGGAAUAUUGGUCAAUGGGCGCGAGCCUGAACCAGCCAAGUCGCGUGAGGGAAGACGGUCCUAUGGAUUGUAAACCUCUUUUGUCGGGGAGCAAAAGACCCCACGCGUGGCGUUCCGAGAGUACCCUAAGAAAAAGCAUCGGCUAACUCCGUGCCAGCAGCCGCGGUAAUACGGAGGAUGCGAGCGUUAUCCGGAUUUAUUGGGUUUAAAGGGGGCGCAGGCGGAAGAUCAAGGCAGCGGUAAAAUUGAGGGGCUCAACCUCUUCGAGCCGUUGAAACUGGUGUGCUUGAGUGAGCGAGAAGUAUGCGGAAUGCGUGGUGUAGCGGUGAAAUGCAUAGAUAUCACGCAGAACUCCGAUUGCGAAGGCAGCAUACCGGCGCUCAACUGACGCUCAUGCACGAAAGUGUGGGUAUCGAACAGGAUUAGAUACCCUUGUAGUC